UACAGAGGUCUCGAGCGUUGUUCGGAUUCAUUGGGCGUAAAGGGCGCGUAGGCGGCGGGGUAAGUCUGGUGUGAAAUCUCGGAGCUCAACUCCGAAAUUGCACUGGAUACUGCUCUGCUAGAGGGCUGGAGAGGAGAUCGGAAUUCACGGUGUAGCAGUGAAAUGCGUAGAUAUCGUGAGGAAGACCAGUGGCGAAGGCGGAUCUCUGGACAGCUCCUGACGCUGAGGCGCGAAGGCUAGGGGAGCAACCGGG
rnacentral:rRNA from 1 species